AGGGGGGAUGCGGAUGCUACACAUGCAGUCGGACGAAGUUUAUACUUUAGUGGCGGACGGGUGAGUAAUACGUGAGCAUUUACCUUUAGGAAGGGAAUAACAAUUGGAAACGAUUGCUACCGCCCUAUAUGCUUAGCAGUGAAACAGAUUUAUCUGCCUGAAGAUGAGCUCGCGCCUGAUUAGCUAGUUGGUAGAGUAAAAGCCUACCAAGGCAACGAUCAGUAGCUGGUUUGAGAGGACGAUCAGCCACACUGGGACUGAGACACGGCCCAGACUUCUACGGAAGGCAGCAGUGGGGAAUUUUCCGCAAUGAGCGAAAGCUUGACGGAGCAAUACCGCGUGAGGGAAGAAUGCCUGUGGGUUGUAAACCUCUUUUUUUAGGGAAGAAAAUAUGACGGUACCUAAAGAAUAAGCAUCGGCUAACUCCGUGCCAGCAGCCGCGGUAAUACGGGGGAUGCAAGCGUUAUCCGGAUUUACUGGGCGUAAAGCGUCUGCAGGUGGCUUAAAAAGUCUGCUGUUAAAUAUUAGAGCUCAACUCUGAGUAAGCAGUGGAAACUGUUAGGCUAGAGUAUGGUAUGGGUAAAGGGAACUCCCAGUGUAGCGGUGAAAUGCGUAGAUAUUGGGAAGAACACCAGUAGCGAAAGCGCUUUACUAGACCAUUACUGACACUCAGAGACGAAAGCUAGGGGAGCAAAUGGGAUUAGAUACCCCAGUAGUCCUAGCCCGUAACGAUGGAUACUAGAUGUUGCGUGUAUCGACCCCUGCAGUAUCGUAGCUAACGCGUUAAGUAUCCCGCCUAGGAAGUAUGCUCGCAAGAAUGAAACUCAAA
rnacentral:rRNA from 1 species